GCUGGUCUCACCGCUAGGGCCUGGGCAUCACAGGCAGGGGGAAUGGGGAGGGGACGGUAGCGUCAGCCUACACCCACACGCAGAAGCUGACAAUGACUGUUGGGCUUUUCCAAUGAAUACCAGAACACCAUUUCCUGCAGCCUGAAAAGAAGACAGUAUAAUUGUUUGGCAGCAAGAGAAUCCAGGUGCCCUUCCAUGAGAAGCCCAAGCCAUGUGGAGAAGCCACGUCUAGGGACUCCAGUUAACACUCUCAGCUGAGUCCCCAGCUGACAGUCAGCAUCAACUGCCAGCCACCUCUGUCUAAAAGUGGGCUAUCUUGGGCAUCCAGCCCAGUCAAGCCUUCAGAUGAGUCCAGUCCCAGCCACUAUCUCACACAACCACACGAGAGACAUCAAGAACUCCCAGUGGAGUCCAGUCAGCCCAUGGAACUGCAAGAGACAGGAUCUCGCUGCGUUGCUCAGACUGGUCUCGAACUCCUGGGCUUAAGGGAUUCUCCUGCCUCAAUCACAGCCUCCCAAGUAGCUGAGAUUAAAAGUGCUCACCACCGUGCCAGCGAGUUCAGUUUUUGAGAUAAGGGGAAAUUGGAGCUCAGAGAUUUAAGCCACCUGCCAGAGGUCACAUGGCCCAUAAAAGUGUCCUCCGACACUGACUCUGUGCUUGGCCCUGUGACUUGCUUUGGCCAAUGGUACAGCAGCAAACUUGAUGCAAACACAACUUGAAAAAGAAGAGGACAGCCAAGUCAUCCCAGCCAAGGCCACCCUGGACCAGCCAGCCUCUUGCCAAGCUGCCAGUGACCACAGAGUCCAAUUAACAACAGCCAGUCCUGGCCCAGGGUGGAGCCAAGACUCUGAGGAGAGGGCUGAACUGUGAACCUAGAAGUACCAUCUCCCCCUGCACACACCUUUGGUCAAGUUGACCCCAAGAAGAAGGACAAGUCCUCUGCACGGCGAUGAGGCCAUACACACAGUCUGUGGCCCGGCUUUGGGAGACUGAUGGGACAAAGGAUGUUUUGCACGAUCCUUGGUCUCUGAGCAAAUAUAUACAUGGGUUAACACAAA
rnacentral:lncRNA from 10 species